rnacentral:rRNA from 1 species
GACAGAGGGUGCAAACGUGUUCGGAAUUACUGGGCGUAAAGCGAGUGUAGGCGGUUUGGUAAGUCGGAUGUGAAAGCCCCGGGCUCAACCCGGGAAGUGCACUCGAUACUGCCAAGCUAGAGUAUCGGAGAGGUUGGUGGAAUUCUCGGUGUAGAGGUGAAAAUUCGUAGAUAUCGAGAGGAACACCGGUGGCGAAGGCGGCCAACUGGACGAAUAC